rnacentral:rRNA from 1 species
CUACGGGGUGCUGCAGUGAGGAAUAUUGCACAAUGGGGGGAACCCUGAUGCAGCAACGCCGCGUGGAGGAUGACGCAUUUCGGUGUGUAAACUCCUUUUAUAUGUCAAGAAAAUGACGGUAGCAUAUGAAUAAGUACCGGCUAACUCCGUGCCAGCAGCCGCGGUAAUACGGAGGGUGCAAGCGUUACUCGGAAUCACUGGGCGUAAAUGGCGCGUAGGCGGGUUGGAAAGUCAGGUGUGAAAUCCUACAGCUUAACUGUAGAACUGCACUUGAAACUUCUAAUCUAGAGUAUGGGAGGGGGAGAUGGAAUUAGUGGUGUAGGGGCAAAAUCCGUAGAUAUCACUAGGAAUACCUAAAGCGAAGGCGAUCUCCUGGAACAUUACUGACGCUAAGGCGUGAAAGCGUGGGGAGCAAACAGGAUUAGAUACCCUCGUAGUC